AUUGAACGCUGGCGGCAGGCCUAACACAUGCAAGUCGAGCGGUAGAGAGAAGCUUGCUUCUCUUGAGAGCGGCGGACGGGUGAGUAAUGCCUAGGAAUCUGCCUGGUAGUGGGGGAUAACGUUCGGAAACGGACGCUAAUACCGCAUACGUCCUACGGGAGAAAGCAGGGGACCUUCGGGCCUUGCGCUAUCAGAUGAGCCUAGGUCGGAUUAGCUAGUUGGUGAGGUAAUGGCUCACCAAGGCGACGAUCCGUAACUGGUCUGAGAGGAUGAUCAGUCACACUGGAACUGAGACACGGUCCAGACUCCUACGGGAGGCAGCAGUGGGGAAUAUUGGACAAUGGGCGAAAGCCUGAUCCAGCCAUGCCGCGUGUGUGAAGAAGGUCUUCGGAUUGUAAAGCACUUUAAGUUGGGAGGAAGGGCAUUAACCUAAUACGUUAGUGUUUUGACGUUACCGACAGAAUAAGCACCAGCUAACUCUGUGC
rnacentral:rRNA from 1 species